rnacentral:rRNA from 1 species
GAUGAACGCUAGCGGAAGGCUUAAUACAUGCAAGUCGAGCGGUAGAUGGCUUCGGCCAUUGAGAGCGGCGCACGGGUGAGUAACGCGUACAUGACCUGCCUGUCAGAAGGGAAUAGCCCUGGGAAACUGGGGAUUAAUACCCCUAUGGUAUUGAUAUUAUGAAUGAUAUCAAUUAAAGUUGAGGCGCUGACAGAUGGAUGUGCGUCUGAUUAGCUAGUUGGUAGGGUAACGGCCUACCAAGGCGACGAUCAGUAGGGGGCGUGAGAGCGUGGUCCCCCACACGGGUACUGAGACACGGACCCGACUCCUACGGGAGGCAGUAGUAAGGAAUAUUGGUCAAUGCCCGCAAGGGUGAACCAGCCAUUCCGCGUGGAGGAUGAAGGCCCUAUGGGUUGUAAACUUCUUUUAGAUUGGGAAGAAAAUGCUAGAUGUAUCUGGUACUGACGGUACCAUCAGAAUAAGCACCGGCUAACUCCGUGCCAGCAGCCGCGGUAAAACG